CAUGCUAAGUUUAAGCAUAUCAAUAAGGGGAGGAAAAAACCUUACAAGGUUUCCCUUAGUAAUGGCGAGCUAACUGAGAAGAGCCCAGCUUGAGAAUCGGGCAUCGUCGACAUUCGAAUUGUAGUCUGGAGAAGCGUCCUUCGUGGCGAACCAGGCACAAGUCCCUUAGAAGGGGGCCCUAGAGAGGGUGAGAGCCCCAUUACGCUUGGACCCUGCUGCACCACGAGGCACUAUCAACGAGUCCAAUUGUUUAGGAAUGCAGACCCAAUCGGGUGGUAAGUUCUGUUUUAAGCGAAAUAUGGGUGAGAGGCCGAUAGCAAACAAGUACCACAAGGGAAAGAUGAAAAGAAGAUUGAGAAGAGAGUCAAAUAGUGCUUGAAAUUGUCGGGAGGAAAGCGAAUGGAGGCCAGUGAUGUGACUCAGUCGGAUGUGGAAUGGUGACAAGCUGGUCUGCCAAUCAACUUGGGGCAUGGAUUGAUGCAAAUUAAGACGGUAGCCUACGCCUAGGCAUUUGUUACACUUGUAGAGAUGUCGUUGUCUCGAUUAUGGUUGGCAGCGCACGCCUUCUAGCAAGCUUCAACCCAUCUUGAAACAUAAACCAAGGAGUCUGACAUGUGUGCGAGUUAACAGACGAGUAAACCCAUAAGGCACAAGGAAGCUGACUGGUGAGAUCCCUAGUGGGUUGCACGACUGACCGACCUUGACCUUCUGAGAAAGGUUCAAGUGUGAGAAUGCCUGUCGAGACCAAAAAGAUGGUGAACUAUGCCUGAGCAAAGCGAAGCCAGAGGAAACUCUAGUGGAGGCUCGUAGCGAUAUUAACGUGCUAAUCGUACUUGGGUAUAGGGGUGAAAGACUAAUUGAACCGUUUAGUAGUUGGUUCCCUCUGAAGUUUCCCUUAGGAUAGUUAGAGCCUGUGGACGAGUUCUAUUGGGUAAAGCCAAUGAUUAGAGCAUCAGAGGCGUAAUGCCCUCAACCUACUCUUAAACUUUAAAUAAGUAGGAGGACGCGGCUACUUUGUUGAGUCGCGCAAUGGAAUCCACAGCUCCAAGUGGGCCAUUUUUUAUAAGUAGAACUGGUGAUGCGGGAUGAACUGAAAGUCGGGUUAUGGUGCCUAACUGCUCGCUAACCUAGAUCCAACAAAGGGUGUUGGUCAAUUAAGAUAGCAGGAUGUUGGUCAUGGAAGUCAAAAUUUUCUAAGGAGUGGUAACAACUCACCUGCUGAAUCAACUAGCCUCGAAAAUGGAUGGCGGUGAAGCACAUAACCUAUACCCGGCCAACGGGGUAAGAGCUAGUCCCUAAUAAGUUUGAGGGCAUGACAGUCACUGCAAAAUCUUGGACGUGAGCCCAGUGGAGCAGCAAUCGGUGCAGAUCUCGGUGGUAGUAGAAAAUAUUCAAAUGAGAACUUUGAAGGUCGAAGAGGGUAAAUGUUCCAUGUGAACGGCACUUGCAGAUGGGUUAGUCGAUUCGAAGAGACGGGGAAAACUCGUCUGAUAACGCGACAGUGCAAAUUUUGAAAGGGAAUCGGGUUAAAACUUAUGAACUGGGACAUGGCGACUGAUGACAACGUAAGGGAUUCUGAAGAUGUCGACAGAGGCCUUGGGAAGAGUUAUCUUUUCUAUUUAACAGUUUGCCCACCCUAGAAACGGCUUAACUGGAGGUAAGGUCCAGUGGCUGGAAGAGCAUCGCACGUCGCAUGGUGUUCGGUGUGCCUCCGCGACCUUUGAAAUUCAGAGGAUCGAGUGCCUCUCCCGCCUAAUCGUACUCAUAACCGCAUCAGGUCACUAAGGUGAACAGUCUCUGGUC
rfam:Cucumis melo, WGS project CAJI01000000 data, contig: 10657